GAUUUCAACCUGCACCCGCUCAGCUUGUCCAGUCGAUGAACCCAUCAAGCUAGCUCGCGAGUGAAGCCAAGUCAGCAUGCUGCCUGAUUUUAAUUAAAAAAAAAACAUGUGUUGCUUUAUUGUGUGCAUUAGUGACUCACUCGUCAAUUUCCCUAACUCUUGUCUCACUCGCUCGAACUUGAAAAGGGUCUUCACACGAUCACCACCAUCCAUCCAUGAACAACGUGACCACCACUUCAGCACAAAAAUGUGAUCACAACUAGUUGACAGGAGGACGCACACAUCACAAUAGACAACAACGGUUUUCUGAUGAAGCGUAGGCCACCACGAACAGAUGAUGUUGAUGCAGGUGGUUCUGGUGGAGCUUAGCCACGGAGAGGGGAUAGCUUGGGAGUUUUAUUGCUUUUAUACAAUUUAGUGAUUUUGAUAUCGGAUGUAAACUUUAUGAGAUGUUUUAGACUAUUUUUCUUAUUCUUGAUAAAUUAUGGAUGUUAGCUUUUAUUAAUAAAAAUAAAAAUUUUCCCGCGUUUUGGGAAAAUGAGGUAUCA